rnacentral:rRNA from 1 species
GACGAACGCUGGCGGCGUGCUUAACACAUGCAAGUCGAACGGAAAGGCCCUGCUUUUGUGGGGUGCUCGAGUGGCGAACGGGUGAGUAACACGUGAGUAACCUGCCCUUGACUUUGGGAUAACUUCAGGAAACUGGGGCUAAUACCGGAUAGGAGCUCCUGCUGCAUGGUGGGGGUUGGAAAGUUUCGGCGGUUGGGGAUGGACUCGCGGCUUAUCAGCUUGUUGGUGGGGUAGUGGCUUACCAAGGCUUUGACGGGUAGCCGGCCUGAGAGGGUGACCGGCCACAUUGGGACUGAGAUACGGCCCAGACCCCUACGGGAGGCAGCAGUGGGGAAUAUUGCACAAUGGGCGGAAGCCUGAUGCAGCAACGCCGCGUGCGGGAUGACGGCCUUCGGGUUGUAAACCGCUUUCGCCUGUGACGAAGCGUGAGUGACGGUAAUGGGUAAAGAAGCACCGGCUAACUACGUGCCAGCAGCCGCGGUGAUACGUAGGGUGCGAGCGUUGUCCGGAUUUAUUGGGCGUAAAGGGCUCGUAGGUGGUUGAUCGCGUCGGAAGUGUAAUCUUGGGGCUUAACCCUGAGCGUGCUUUCGAUACGGGUUGACUUGAGGAAGGUAGGGGAGAAUGGAAUUCCUGGUGGAGCGGUGGAAUGCGCAGAUAUCAGGAGGAACACCAGUGGCGAAGGCGGUUCUCUGGGCCUUUCCUGACGCUGAGGAGCGAAGGCGUGGGGAGCGAACAGGCUUAGAUACCCUGGUAGUCCACGCUGUAAACGGUGGGUACUAGGUGUGGGGUCCAUUCCACGGGUUCCGUGCCGUAGCUAACGCUUUAAGUACCCCGCCUGGGGAGUACGGCCGCAAGGCUAAAACUCAAAGGAAUUGACGGGGCCCCGCACAAGCGGCGGAGCAUGCGGAUUAAUUCGAUGCAACGCGUAGAACCUUACCUGGGUUUGACAUGGAUCGGGAGUGCUCAGAGAUGGGUGUGCCUCUUUUGGGGUCGGUUCACAGGUGGUGCAUGGCUGUCGUCAGCUCGUGUCGUGAGAUGUUGGGUUAAGUCCCGCAACGAGCGCAACCCUUGUUCACUGUUGCCAGCACGUUAUGGUGGGGACUCAGUGGAGACCGCCGGGGUCAACUCGGAGGAAGGUGGGGAUGACGUCAAGUCAUCAUGCCCCUUAUGUCCAGGGCUUCACGCAUGCUACAAUGGCUGGUACAGAGAGUGGCGAGCCUGUGAGGGUGAGCGAAUCUCGGAAAGCCGGUCUCAGUUCGGAUUGGGGUCUGCAACUCGACCUCAUGAAGUCGGAGUCGCUAGUAAUCGCAGAUCAGCAACGCUGCGGUGAAUACGUUCCCGGG